rnacentral:rRNA from 1 species
UACGAAGGGUGCAAGCGUUAAUCGGAAUUACUGGGCGUAAAGGGUGCGUAGGCGGUUCGUUAAGUCUGUCGUGAAAUCCCCGGGCUCAACCUGGGAAUGGCGAUGGAUACUGGCGAGCUAGAGUGUGUCAGAGGAUGGUGGAAUUCCCGGUGUAGCGGUGAAAUGCGUAGAUAUCGGAAGGAACAUCAGUGGCGAAAGCGACUUCCUGGACCAGUACCGACGUUCAGGCACGAAAGCGUGGGGAGCAAACAGG